CCCUUAGAUGUUCUGGGCCGCGCGCGCGCUACACUGACGAAGUCAGCGGGCAUGUCCUACGCCGACAGGUGCGGGGAAUCUUGUCAAACUUCGUCGUGAUGGGGAUUGAUUUUUGAAACUCUUGAUCAUAAACGAGGAAUUCCUAGUAAGCGCAAGUCAGCAGCUUGCGUUGAUUACGUCCCUGCCCUUUGUACACACCGCCCGUCGCUACUACCGAUUGAAUGGUUUAGUGAGAUCUUCGGAUUGGCGCCACUGCGGCUCAGCAAUGGGCUUGGUGGAUGCCGAAAAGUUGAUCAAACUUGAUCAUUUAGAGGAAGUAAAAGUCGUAACA
rnacentral:rRNA from 1 species